GAUGAACGCUGACAGAAUGCUUAACACAUGCAAGUCGAUGGGGAAGUGGUGCUUGCACCAUGGCAACCAUGGCGGACGGGUGAGUAACGCGUAAGGGACUUACCUGCAGGACUGGGAUAACAGGGGGAAACUCCUGACAAGACCGGAUAAUGUCAUGGAGCUGCAUGGCUUUAUGAUGAAAGGAGACGCCUGCGGAGAGCCUUGCGUCCUAUUAGCUAGUUGGUGAGGUAAUGGCUCACCAAGGCGAAGAUAGGUAGCCGGCCUGAGAGGGUGGACGGCCACAAGGGGACUGAGAUACGGCCCUUACUCCUACGGGAGGCAGCAGUGGGGAAUAUUGGACAAUGGGGGCAACCCUGAUCCAGCAAUUCUGUGUGCACGAAGAAGGUUUUCGGAUUGUAGAGUGCUUUCAGCAGGGAAGAAGUAAGUGACGGUACCUGCAGAAGAAGCGACGGCUAAAUACGUG
rnacentral:rRNA from 1 species